ensembl:lncRNA
CAGGGAGCCGAUCCCCAACAUAGUUCCGCUGCACAGUUUUUAUUCCAUCAGUGUGAAGUUAGUCAGGUCCUGACCACUCUCAUCCUCGAGCAUAUCAUCACACAGCUGCCCCUGCAACUGCUUCAGUAAAGCAGACUAAGAUCUACAUGGAGCCUCAUCCUGUCUUCAGAUACUCCCCUUUGCAGUUUGUACAGAUUAAACCAUGUCUUGUGAUUCUGGAGAAGAUGAAACUCCCAGUGAACUUGUAAUGGACAGCCCUGAAGACACAUGCAGUAACCACUGAGUCUCAUCCAAGAGAGCAGGAUUGCCACCAUUUGUGGAGACCUUCCACGCUGAUGUUAAAGUGGAGCCAUAGAGCAAAAGACAUAACUCAGAACACCACAGAAAUUCAACCAAUCUACUUCUAGCCCUUCACUGUUUCACAGGGACAGAUGCCACGUCGCUGGUUUACUGCUGUGCAGCUCCUCCAGCUUAUACAAACUGAACAUCAUCACAGGAAGGAACAGACUUCAUAAUAAUACGAAGUUCUAUGCCAUUUAAUUCAAACCACUUUACAAAUACCAUUUAAAAAAUAAAACCUGAGCGACAAAAGCAAAUUAUAGACAGGACUGCCUCACUUCUAGAGAAAUGCAGCUGACAUUACACCACAAUCCAAAGCCAAGAAAAGGACUGGCUAUCAAGCCAGCUUGGAACUACAUUCGACAGCUGAAGUUUAAUAUUUGCAGUUACGAGAACUAUUUCUGAAAAUAUUUCAGGUAUUUUAUAUCAUUUGUUGUAAAUCAUUGAUAUUCUUCUGACCAUAUACACAGAAAAAUCUGCAGUCUCUGAAGAAAGGAAAGCCUCUGAACUUUACAAACGUGGAGACAGAUGAACAAAUCUUUGCAACUACCAUUUCCAUGAGUGUGACGUCCAGAAGCCACUCAAAUCUUGGAAACCACUACCUUGGAGAUAGCAGAUUCUGGGGGUUGUAUAGAUAAGAGAUCAAUUCUCAGUAAUUUAAAGUUCUCUUAAAUAGUCAGCCCAGACAGGAAGGAUUCCAGUUUAAUUAACUACAGGCUUAAACCUACAAAGGGGCAUUCUGCAUCUCUUGAGACCACUGCACACCUUUUGCAAAGGAAAGCUGGAGGCAUCUUCUGAGAAUAAACAUCAAGACCACUGCUGCUCUGUUUCAAACUUGCCCCCACAGUGCCCAGAUCUCUGCAGAGUGCAGCACCCACCAUUUUUGCUAUGACAGUCAGAAAGUUCUUGAUUCCUUAACAUGGGAACAUCAGCAUGUUGUUACUCCCAGACAUUUCUUUCUUCACUUUUCAAUGUUUUCUCUGUGCUAUCUGUCAUCACCUUGUUUUCUCAUUUUCCUUUUAAUUAAAGAUUAUUAUUCAAAGGAGGAAAUGUAGCACAAUUUGAGAAUUCAUUCAGCAUGUAUAGAGAUGCAUGUGGUCUACU